rnacentral:rRNA from 1 species
UACGUAGGGGGCUAGCGUUGUCCGGAAUCAUUGGGCGUAAAGCGCGUGUAGGCGGUCCGGUAAGUCCGCUGUGAAAGUCGGGGGCUCAACCCUCGAAUGCCGGUGGAUACUGUCGGGCUAGAGUGCGGAAGAGGCGAGUGGAAUUCCUGGUGUAGCGGUGAAAUGCGUAGAGAUCGGGAGGAACACCCGUGGCGAAGGCGGCCUGCUGGGCCGAUCCUGACGCUGAGGCGCGAAGGCGUGGGGAGCGAACGGG